AUUGAACGCUGGCGGCAGGCCUAACACAUGCAAGUCGAACGAGUGGCGGACGGGUGAGUAAUGUCUGGGAAACUGCCUGAUGGAGGGGGAUAACUACUGGAAACGGUAGCUAAUACCGCAUACAUCCGGUUUGGCCCAGAUGGGUUUAGCUAGUGGGUGGGGUAACGGCUCACCUGGGCGACGAUCCCUACCUGUUCGAAGAGGAGGACCAGCCACACUGGAACUGAGACACGGUGCAGACUCCUACGGGAGGCAGCAGUGGGGAAUAUUGCACAAUGGGCGCAAGCCUGAUGCAGCCAUGCCGCGUGUAUGAAGAAGGCCUUCGGGUUGUAAAGUACUUUCAGCGGGGAGGCGUUACCCGCAGAAGAAGCACCGGCUAACUCCGUGCCAGCCGCCGCGGUAAUU
rnacentral:rRNA from 1 species